UGGCGGACGGGUGAGUAACGCGUGGACAACCUACCCCGCACUGGGGGACAACAGCCGGAAACGGCUGCUAAUACCGCAUAUGCGCACAGCCCCACAUGGGGCGGUGCGGAAAGCCUUGUGCGGUGCGGGAUGGGUCCGCGUCUGAUUAGCUGGUUGGCGGGGUAACGGCCCACCAAGGCGACGAUCAGUAGCCGGCCUGAGAGGGUGGACGGCCACAUUGGGACUGAGACACGGCCCAGACUCCUACGGGAGGCAGCAG
rnacentral:rRNA from 1 species